UGCUCCCGCUGAAGCUAGUCAAGAAGAAGUUCCCCUUGAAACCAAAUUGACUAUUAUUUGAGUGUUGAGAAUUUAUCUAAGGAUGAGUUUCUGCGCAAACGCAUGAAUGAUGAAGGCUUUGUUCAUAUACAAUUUAUUGCAAGUUUCAAUAAGCUUAAAGCUUUGAUAGAUAAUAUUCAUUUUAUAUUGGAAGCUCUUCAACGGUCACAUAUUGUUGAAUUGAAGGGGUAUGAAAUACGAAAUCGGCAUAUGUGGAGAAGGUUCUUAAUGCGGCUAACUUGCGGGUUCAUUUUUAUCCAAGUCCAGAAUAUGAACAAUAACAGAAAUUCAAGGUGAGUAAGUUUGCUUCAGUAGAAAGCAGAUUGGUGCUACUUUUAUGUGAAGUAGCCCCAGUUGCAUUGGAUUAUACCAAUUUGUCCUAGAAAUAAGAAGAACAAAAAAAAAACGUUAAUAAUCUAAAUAAAAAAAUAGAAUACGAGAAAAUUAAGUGCUUAGUUUUUUCUUAUUCGUUUUGUUUCUUAACUUAAACUGUCAUUAUCACUUGAUACGUGUAUUUUUUAUUUUACGCAUUCAGAUCUUGCUCCUUGGCAAUUAGAUUAAGUGAAAAUUCAUCAGACUAGCCUUUAAGGUUGAUGAAUUGACAAACUUAGCCUAACAUAUUGAAGGGCUUACCAGACUAACCUUAUAAAUUUGGUCUUAUAUCAUUUUAUCCAAAUAUUGAAUAUUAU